AACCCGCAUUUUCGGAGUCGUGAUUUGAGGUGUAACAAGCUAAGAUGACGGGUAAGUUUUUAACUCAAGACGCAAAUCUUUUUUUUCUCUUUCUGGUUUAACAUCUUUAUUUUCAGACGCUAUUGUCAUAUCGGACGGCGAGUGGGAAGAAAUUCCUAUUGAGGAAUUAACUUGUAAAACACCGAUCCCUCUGGAUGAUUUGUCUAAAAUUAAUCGCGCGGUCGAGAAUCUGAAAAAGGAGGGGGUUCAACCUUACCCCGGAAGUGAUAACUUUUACCCAACCACGCCUCCAUCCACCAGCCGAACCGUCUUACAUCCGUAUCAGCCCAGCCAUACCGUCAGAUCACACGCGAAUGCGAACGUGAAAGCUGUUCGUUACAGGACCAUCACGCCACAGACGAUCCUCGAAGCUGAGCAAAGGCCGACGGCCUACGCACCCCCAAUAUCUCAGCCCCCACCACCACCUCCAACCCCUUCUCAUGCGCAGACGGAUGGUAACGA